rnacentral:rRNA from 1 species
GACGAACGCUGGCGGCGUGCUUAACACAUGCAAGUCGAGCGGUAAGGCCCUUUCGGGGGUACACGAGCGGCGAACGGGUGAGUAACACGUGGGUGACCUGCCCUUAGCUCUGGGAUAAGCCUGGGAAACUGGGUCUAAUACCGGAUAUGACUCCAUAACGCAUGUUGUGGGGUGGAAAGCCUUGUGCGGCUAGGGAUGGGGCCCGCGGCCUAUCAGCUUGUUGGUGGGGUGAUGGCCACCAAGGCGACGACGGGUAGCCGGCCUGAGAGGGCGACCGGCC